AUCUUUCGGGCGCGUUCCUCCUCCCAUUAGCGCCUGGGAGUGUUCCCCUCUGGAGGUUUAGCCUUAAUCGGCACUUCCAACAAACUCAGCCGGGUCUUCUUAGAUCCGGCUUUUUU
rnacentral:sRNA from 1 species